ensembl:lncRNA
UUCCCCAAAUUCCCAAUUUUUUCCCCAAAAUUCCCCCAAAUUCCCAAUUUUUCCCCCAAAAUUCCCAUUUUUUUCCCAAAAAUCCUCAUUUUUCCCCCAAAUCCCCCCAAAAUCCCAUUUUUUUUCCCCAGAUUCCCAAUUUUUCCCCCAAAUUCCCAGUUUUUUCCCCGAUAUUCCCAUUUUCCCCCUGAAAUUCCCAUUUUUUCCCCAAAAUUGUCAUUUUUGUCCCCAAAAUUCCCAUUUUCCCCCGUCAUUCCCCUUUUUUUUCCCCAGAUUCCCACUUUUCCCCCCCCGGAAUUCCCGGAAUUCCCAUUUUUCCCCGUGGAAUUCCCAGUUCUUUUCCCGCUGUCGUUCCCAGUUUUUCCCCCUGGAAUUCCCAGGAUUUCCUCCCAGAAUUCCCGGUUUUUCCCGGGAUUCAUUCCCGUUCUUUCCCCGCUGUCAUUCCCAGUUUUUCCCCCUGGAAUUCCCGGUUUUUCCCGGUUUUUCCCGGGAUUCAUUCCCGUCCUUUCCCCCCGCUGUCAUUCCCGGUUUUUCCCGGAAUUCCCAGUUUUUCCCGGAAUUCCCAGUUCUUUUUCCCGGGAUUCAUUCCCGUCCUUUCCUUCCCGCUGUCGUUCCCAGUUUUUCCCCCUGGAAUUCCCGGUUUUUCCCGGCAUUCCUGGGAUUCAUUCCCGUCUUUCCCCGCUGUCAUUCCCAGUUUUUCCCGGAAUUCCCGGCAUUCAUUCGCAUUCAUUCCCGGCAUUCAUUCCCGGCAUUCAUUCCCAUUAUUUCCCCGCUGUCGUUGCCAGUUUCUCUCCCGGAAUUCCCGGUUUUUCCCGGUUUUUCCCGGCAUUCAUUCCCGUCCUUUCCCCGCUGUCAUUCCCAGUUUCUCUCCCAGAAUUCCCAGAAUUCCCAGAAUUCCCGGUUUUUCUCUGGAAUUCCCGGUUUUUCCCGGGAUUCCUGGGAUUCAUUCCCAGCAUUCAUUCCCAUUAUUUCCCCGCUGUCAUUCCCAGUUUUUCCCCCUGGAAUUCCCGGUUUUUCCCAGUUUUUCCCGGCAUUCAUUCCCAGUUGUCCUUUCCCCGCUGUCAUUCCCGGUUUUUCCCGGAAUUCCCGGUUUUUCCCGGCAUUCCUGGGAUUCAUUUCCCGGGAUUCAUCCUUUCCCCCCCGCUGUCAUUCCCAGUUCUCGGCCGAGCCCGAGGCGGUGGCGGCGCUGCUGGAGCUGCUCCCGCACCUGGAGCUCGGAAUGUUCCGGACGGCGCGGCUCGACAAGGUGGGCACGGGACGGACCAGUAUAAACCAGUUCAGACCGGUACAAACCAGUACAGACUGGUAUAGAUCAGUACAGACCGGUUCAAACCAGUACGGACCAGUAUAAACCAGUAUAAACCAGUUCAGACCGGUACAAACCAGUACAGACUGGUAUAGAUCAGUACAGACCGGUUCAAACCAGUACGGACCAGUAUAAACCAGUUCAGACCAGUCUAUCCCAGUUUAUCCCAGUGGAUCCCAGUCCAUCCCAGUCCAUCCCAGUCCAUCCCAGUUUAUCCCAGUCCAUCCCGGUUUAUCCCAGUUCCCGUUCCCAGGUUCUGGAUCGGGUUCUGGAGCGGAUCCUGGAGCUGUUCCGCUGCCACUCGGAGCCGGUUCCGGUUCCCCUGAUCCCAUCCCGGUUUAUCCCGGUUUAUCCCGGUUUAUCCCAGUCCAUCCCAGUCCAUCCCAGUUCCCG